GAUGAACGCUGGCGGCGUGCUUAACACAUGCAAGUCGAACGGUGAACACGGAGCUUGCUCUGUGGGAUCAGUGGCGAACGGGUGAGUAACACGUGAGCAACCUGCCCCUGACUCUGGGAUAAGCGCUGGAAACGGCGUCUAAUACUGGAUACGAACCGCGAAGGCAUCUUCAGUGGUUGGAAAGAUUUUUUGGUUGGGGAUGGGCUCGCGGCCUAUCAGCUUGUUGGUGAGGUAAUGGCUCACCAAGGCGUCGACGGGUAGCCGGCCUGAGAGGGUGGCCGGCCACACUGGGACUGAGACACGGCCCAGGGUCCUACGGGAGGCAGCAGUGGGGAAUAUUGCACAAUGGGCGGAAGCCUGAUGCAGCGACGCCGCGUGAGGGAUGACGGCCUUCGGGUUGUAAACCUCUUUUAGCAGGGAAGAAGCGAAAGUGACGGUACCUGCAGAAAAAGCGCCGGCUAACUACGUGCCAGCCGCCGGCGUAAAAC
rnacentral:rRNA from 1 species